UACGUAGGGUGCAAGCGUUAAUCGGAAUUACUGGGCGUAAAGCGUGCGCAGGCGGUUGUGUAAGACAGGUGUGAAAUCCCCGGGCUUAACCUGGGAACUGCAUUUGUGACUGCACGGCUAGAGUGUGUCAGAGGGGGGUGGAAUUCCACGUGUAGCAGUGAAAUGCGUAGAUAUGUGGAGGAACACCAAUGGCGAAGGCAGCCCCCUGGGAUAACACUGACGCUCAUGCACGAAAGCGUGGGGAGCGAACAGG
rnacentral:rRNA from 1 species